rnacentral:rRNA from 1 species
UACGUAGGGGGCAAGCGUUGUCCGGAAUUAUUGGGCGUAAAGAGCGUGUAGGCGGUCCGGUAAGUCGGCUGUGAAAGCCCAGGGCUCAACCCUGGGAUGCCGGUCGAUACUGCCGGACUAGAGUUCGGAAGAGGCGAGUGGAAUUCCCGGUGUAGCGGUGAAAUGCGCAGAUAUCGGGAGGAACACCUAUGGCGAAGGCAGCUCGCUGGGACGUUACUGACGCUGAGACGCGAAAGCGUGGGGAGCAAACAGG